AUAAAACAGGGAUUGUUUGUCCAUAUAUUGCAAUAUAUAUGGACAAGUGAUGCACGAAGGGCACCUAUAACAUCCAUUCUUGGCCGCCGUUAGCCACGUACUUGUUCCCCCACUCUGAUAACAAUGUGUAGGGUCAGUUUUUACCAGGAGAUCCCGUAGGUUUCGUCCCCUUUUAUAUGAAAUCCGUGGUUUGCAUCGAAAGAUAGGCGGUAAAGUUCUAUCUUUCUCUAAAACGGACCAAUGUGUAUGUAUGGCAUCUACCAGCGGUUUAUUAUCCGGGGUGAAGGUAGUUAUAAAGGUCAAUCGCCUCUCAGUCUCCUCAUCCACCGCAGUCACUUGAUAGUAGGACCUUCCUUUAACCAUCCACACACAGGGAAGAAAAUUGAGAUUAAGUAUAGGCUUACCUGUACAUCUAAAUUUUUGAUUUACUUUAUUAAAUGCCCCUGCGGACUGUUUUAUGUGGGGAAAACAAUCACUAAUUUACGAGACCGGAUGGCUAACCAUCGAAGCUCAAUACGACAGGCAUUAGAGACUGGCAAGGCUGAAACCCCUGUGGCAUCCCAUUUCUUGAAGUAUAAACAUACCCUGGCGAGUUUUCGAUGCAUGAUUAUUGAUCAUAUUCCAACACCGGCCAGAGGUGGUGAUCGUGAGAAACUACUACUGCAAGCCGAAUUGAGAUGGAUUCACAGGCUGAACACGAUCAGCCCGGGUGGACUCAAUGAGAUGGUGUCCUAUUCUCCUUUCUAUUAGGGGGUGUUCACAAUAUAUGAUUUGAGCUUAACUAUGAGGGGGUAAAGUGAUGUUCUAUGAUUGAGCGCAUAGUGGAUAUUGGAUUAUUUUUGAGCUAUUUGUCUGUAUUAACACAUUCCUUUACUUACUAGGUACAACGACAACUGCAGCAGAUGGUUUGCUAGGUGAUUCUAGUAAUAUAAGAAUUGACCUCUUCCGAUGGGGUUGGAUGGGGACACGUCAGUAUGGGUGAUUUUGGAAACGUUUGAUACGGUGAACAAUUAUAUACAUGAACUUGAUAGAUCCACUACCUAUGAGCGUUACAAGAUUUCUCGUCUGAUGACACGGCAAUAUGGGAGACGGGUUGUUUCUGCAGUUCGUGUAGAUAUCUACAGGAGCUCGCUGGAUACGUUGUGAGUGUCAGCUGAUGGAUUUACAACUCCACAUUGGACGGAGUUAACGCCCGUGCAGAUCCAGAGGAAUGAAUGAACUUGAUAUCCUAUUGCAUGAUAGCACGCGAUUGACGCACUAACAGUGCGCGCAAUGUCUCUGGGGGUAGCUCUGAUAAAGGGAGCACGGGGUUAGGUAAUCUGGCACUGGGUGAUCCGAUGAAUUUUGGUCCAACUGAGAUCGUGGGAUUGGAGUGGAUUUCUUUGCACACAGCGGCAUUAAGCAGGGUUGACACUGUAAUGGCUUGAUAUACGGUCACGGCGGUGAUGGCUACACAGGAGCGGUAAGCUUGUUUUUGAUCAGCCCUUUAAGCUGACCAGUAGUCUUUUAGGAUCUGUAUUCAACGGUGUUUUACUAACAGUAUAUAACAUGAUCCACGACAGGCAUUAUUUAUUACUAGUGGGCGGACACUUGGUCUUAUCACAACACUGUAUCGGAAGGGCACUAUUGGAGGCAUUGAUGUGUCUCUUACUUCGAUACUUUUUACCAUAUAGGGUUUACUUCAUUGACUAAAAUGAUACAUAUGUUACAAUUGUUUAUUGAAGUUUUACGGAGUCUUUUAGGUGGGGGAAGUAUUCUAUUAGUAUAAUUACAAGUAUACACGUCAGAGUUGGAGGGUUUGUGAUAUUUUCGCGCCAUGGGUGGGGUAUUUAUGGGCAAAUGUUUAAAUGUUUUGUUACUUUGACAAAGGCUGGUGUGGCAGCCGAAACGUUAGUGUGUCCUAAUAAAUUCAUUACUUUACUAUAA